rnacentral:lncRNA from 1 species
AACAUCAACAGCAACAGCAGCAACAGUACCAGCACCAGCAACAACAGCAGCAACAACAACCGCAACAACGACAACCACAACGACAACAACAACAACAACGACAACAACAACAACAACGACAACAACAACAACAACGACAACGACGACAACGACAACGACGACAACAACGACAACAACAACAACGACGACGACAACAACAACAACAACAACAACAAUAACAACAACAACAAC